rnacentral:misc_RNA from 1 species
GGUUUUGGUGUCCCCAUCCGCCUUGUGCCCUUYGGGGUGCGGGGUGGACGCGAGGCRGGCUYCGUGUUCCCCGCGYGUUGAGUGUGUUGACACUUGACCGCUGUGGCCCAUGGGGUCUUGACCCGUGCUCUCGGAUGCGGAAUGUUGUGUGUGGGCGUGGGGUCUCGGCCUCUACUCGUCCAAGCUACACGCAUUGUCCCUUAACAUGAACGACYGUYGCGCCCGUCUUGAWCGACUGACCGAGCCCCUKUUGUGGGUUUUYGGGAUGGCGGCUCAUGCGGAYGUCGGCGUCGGAGAGGAAUGC